GACGAACGCUGGCGGCGUGCUUAACACAUGCAAGUCGAACGGAAAGGCCCUGCUUUUGUUGGGUGCUCGAGUGGCGAACGGGUGAGUAACACGUGAGUAACCUGCCCUUGACUUUGGGAUAACUUCAGGAAACUGGGGCUAAUACCGGAUAGGAGCUCCUGCUGCAUGGUGGGGGUUGGAAAGUUUCGGCGGUUGGGGAUGGACUCGCGGCUUAUCAGCUUGUUGGUGGGGUAGUGGCUUACCAAGGCUUUGACGGGUAGCCGGCCUGAGAGGGUGACCGGCCACAUUGGGACUGAGAUACGGCCCAGACUCCUACGGGAGGCAGCAGUGGGGAAUAUUGCACAAUGGGCGGAAGCCUGAUGCAGCAACGCCGCGUGCGGGAUGACGGCAUUCGGGUUGUAAACCGCUUUCGCCUGUGACGAAGCGUGAGUGACGGUAAUGGGUAAAGAAGCACCGGCUAACUACGUG
rnacentral:rRNA from 1 species